UACAUCAGAGACCUCAUCCCUGCCUGUGUUCCCCCAGUGAGCCUCCCUACACCUUCAGACAAGGCCUCCGUCUGGCACAAAGACCAAGAAAAGGUUCCGGUCCCUUGAGGUUGGAGAAGAGAGCAACUGCGAAGAAACAAGCUAUUAAUAUUAAUGUUCCAGGAAGAGGAGGAGAGAGAAAGGACACAGGCGCCCAGAAAGAAUGACUCCAUAUGGCUUUGAUGUGUCCGUUUGCACAGGACGGGCGCAGCGUGGGGAAUACGGAGUAGCGAGGAGGGAAAUGAAGAGGUGGAGGUGGCCCGGCAGCAUCUGAGGAAUUACGGGAGCUGUGGGGAGUGGAUUUGUCUAGACGAAAAGUCAGCCAGCCACACUGCCAUCUGCAACCAUCAGAGGACAAGCCAGCAGGAGAAAGGGAAGCCCCCUGGCACCCCGGUUGUUCCCAGCAACGGGGGUGGGGGGGUUCUUGUAAAGAGCUAUUGCUGUGCUAAACCUUGGUGGGGGGGGCGCACCUGGAAUGACUGAGACCCCUCCCAGGGGGCUCCUUUUUGUGGACCUCCAGACAAAGUUUUUUCGGCUUCUCCUUUGAGGUCCUGUUGUACAUUUUAAUGCCUUCCAUGGAUAUGGAUAUAUUGUCUGAUGCAUAAGAGUUCCGUCUUAGCAGGCUGACCUAGAUUUAAUACUUUUUUUGGAGAGAUUUUAUUUAUUUAUAUGCGAGAGAGAGAGGAAGGGCACAAGCUGGGGGAGGGGCAAGGGGAGAGGGAGAAGCAGACUCCCUGCUGAGCUCAGAGCCCCACACAGGGUCUUGAUCCCAGGACCCUGAGAUCAUGACCUGAGCCGAAGGCAGACACUUAACCAACUGAGCCACCCAGGCGCCCCCAGUCUGACCUGGUUUUAAAUUCUGUCUGUAUCUCUGUCUGGCUAGUGUCAUGUUGGGCAUCUUAUUCCACUUCUGGGACCUUCUCUUUCCUCUUCUAUAAGUAAAUUUUAUAAGUAAAUUAAGUAGCAGUAAGCGAGGAAGUCAUUUAUGUGCAGGACCUCACAACGGUGGCUGGGCUCAUGAAUGUUAGAGCGCGUUCCCUUUCUUUUCCGCAUACCAGUGACAGCCGAGAGCAAGGUGGUGAAGGAACUACAGCGGAUUGGAGUAUCUUGAGAGGAUAUGUUACUAGCAGUACAGAUGUUGCAGACUCUGCUGAAGGUAACAAACUUCCUCGCAAUGUUACAGGUAAAACCUCUCUAUGUUGAGUCAACCGUGAUCCUUUUGCACAAGUGAAAGUGGAGGAUCCCCAAAGGUCAAGAUCUCUGAUACAUGAAGAUCAAGCCCAGCAUUAAAUGAAAAGAACUUAGUAAAGGCAGAGAAAAGAAGAAUUACAUGAGAGCUUAGAUUAUAUCGGACUAAAUGUUUUCAUCAUUUCCCCCAUGAUGAGGAAUUGUGGGAAUUUUGAUAUAAGGCCAUCCAGUUCAGCCUGCCCUGAGAAUAAAGAAGCUUCCUCGUUUUCUCUGAAUCCGUGAGUUCUGCAGAGAUGGAGCCAUGCAAGGUUCUGGGAGACUCUGUCAGAGUUGUCCCUUUGCUGGAGUGGUCUGCAAAGGCUGGAGGAGGGGUCCCCUUUCAGUAGUUUUGAGGGAUGUGAAGCGAUAUGCCUGCCCUGCUGGGUUCUUUCUCCUGCCAUUGUAGCCGUGUGACCUCAGACAAGUCAACCUCACCGAGCCUGACUUCCCUCUCUCCUUGAGGAUACACCUAGUCCCAACCUCACAGGGUGCUGUGAGGGCCACUGCAGGACAAUCCACAUAAAGUGCCAGCAAAGUGCUUCACUUGGUCAGUGCUUAGAAACUUUUGCUGUGCUACUCUCUCAGAAGGCUUAACUGGACCAUCGUGGUGGACGAGACUGCUUACAGCAUAUGGGUCUCUAUGUUUGCUAGACCUGAAGGCAGGAGGGCUAAUACAGAUUGGAGACUAGAACAGUGGUUUAUGACUUGUUGCAACACUCAGACAACCCUCUGUUUCUCCUAGUAGGUUUUUCUUGUACUAAGUGACAGAGUCCUUGUUUACUCCAUAGUGACACAUGGGGCUUGAAGUGGGAAGACAGGGAUCUGUCAGGCUUACAUAGGGUAAAUGAGAGUAAAAAAUCCUUGUUUGUGUGGGGAGGGAUGUGGAAGACAAAAGGGAGAGAGAGAGAGAAAAUGACAGAAGUUUACCUGUGUGGGACAUUAUUUUAGAACCAGACUAGGGUAGAAUGUUCUUUAAGAGAAAUAUUAGAUGCUAAGGCAAAACAUAUAGUUUGUGGUCUUACCUGGAAGCCUCUGAUACCAGCCUAGGCAUUUAGAAUUGAUCUUGUAGGUAGUGGAGGACCAUUGAAGGUUCUUAGACUAGUGAUAGGUCUCCAGUAUGGGAGAGAAUACUGAAUUAGCAAAUUAGUUAGGGAACAGGAUAGUUAUUAUCUACAACUAAAGCAUUAUUAUGUUCAACUCAAGAAUAAUCCCCUGGCACAGAGCCUCAUGUUCUCAACAUAUGCCUGCUGCAUUUUUUUUUUUUUUUUUGAAUAUAAAAUUGCUGUAGCCCAGAUGUCACGGGGUCUCAUCAGGCCUCUCCAGCUUUUUAAUAUAAAAUGACUUUGCAUUUUAGUUAAACCUGUAGUAAGUGACUCUAAGUCUUUCUCUUGCACAUACCCAGCCCAAGGGAUGAGAUGAGGUUGGACAUGGUGGCAUCCCUCCACCUUCCUUGCUCCUGCUGCCCCCUGCCCUUAAAUCUGAAACCAGGUCCUGGGUUGAACACCUGGUUCUUCUGGUUCUUCUCUGACACUACCUACCACCAGGCCCCACUUCUCCAAGCUUCCCAAAGUUCCAUGGCAAGUAUGGUGCAAAGCACUGAUGGAGAAUGGAUAAAGCUGGACAAAAUGCCAUGAAGCCAAUACCACGCAAUUGCAUCAGUGGAGGGAGCCACCACUUAUCACAGCCUUCUGCCUUUAGGAACUAUCAGUGAAGUCCCCUUCAUGGUGGGCACGGCCUUGUCAUAGGAACUGAACGCGAAGAGGAAAGGAUGAUGGAAAUAAAAUCCAGUUUAUCUUGAAUUUUUGACAUUUUGUUCAUGGCAUCCUAAUUGCCUUUCAUACUUCCUUUGUCUUUUAAGCUUUUUUCCAUCAUUAAAAAAAUGAAUUGUGUCAGU